GCGUUCAUGGCGUAACGGUAGCGUACUUGCUUGCCAUGCAGGAGGUGCGGGUUCAACUCCCGCUGAACGCU
rnacentral:tRNA from 1 species